rnacentral:lncRNA from 1 species
UUCCGUCUUCUCUUUUUCUUUUCCUUUUCCUUUAGUAAUCUCAUGUUCUGCAGAAUUAAUUUGAAUAAAGAGAGUGGACUGUAAAAUAACUUGUGGGACAGUUUGAUAAGCUGCCUUUAACUUCCCACUCACACUGAAAAUCCCUCCUUGACAUGUCUCAAACCCAAACAAUUCCUCCCAGAUGCAGUUCAGAUGGUCUGGGUCCACCAGACACAAGUUUUGUGCACCAGUGCACUUCUUCUAAUGAACAUGCAAUUUCUUUCGCAGUGCAAUUAUGACAGUACAGCUGGGGACCAGACAUGCAAAGCGAUGCUUUUCUUCCAGCCUGGGAAACUACAAAUACUUGCUUUGUUCCAGAUUUGAACUGAGUUGGCAAAUUGGAGUGAGGCAGAAAUGGGUGAAAAGGGUGCCCUCCCAAAGCAGAAAGGAGCCAGAUGGAGUGAUACCAAAGAUGGAAUGAAAAAGCUACAGUUUGUGGGCUCUGUAGAAAGAAGCAGAAAACUGAAGGGCGCAAAUAUAGGUGGAGAUGCAGUAAAGUAAAAGAGAACAUAACGAAGAGAAAUGGACAAGACUAAGAGAAAGUUUAUGCCCAAUACCAUGGAAGAGGUAUCCUGCUGUUGACAUCUGCUAGGCUCAGGAGGAGUCUCCCUCAGAAAGAUGUAGAAAUUCCUUCACUCAACACAUUUAAAAAUAGACUAAACAAACCCCAGUGAGCCAGACUCUCAUCCUCUUACUCACACGGGGCCGUAACUCACUCCAGCAGUCGUUCUUUUGAAGCCUGGGAAUCCUUGCAGGCUGAGAGGGGUUGAGCUGGAUGCAAGGCAGAAAUCUGGUCCCGGGUGCUGCAAGGAGCGAUCCUGCAUCGUAGCAGACAUGAAUCAGAUGAAUGAUCGGCUCUUUUCACAUCGGACACACUGCACUGGCACAUGCCUUCCUGUAUAGUUAUGAACUCAAGGAAGAGACUUAAAGCAAAGCAUGUGUUAAAAAGAUUUGCAGAAGCUGCAGGAGGGCUGCAUACAGGAAAAUACAGGAGUGCUCUGUCUCAAUUCCAUCCAACCUCAGCAGAGCUCUAAUAAAUGUAUAAACUAACUUCA